AUUGAACGCUGGCGGCAUGCCUUACACAUGCAAGUCGAACGCGAAAGGGGGCAACCCCGAGUAGAGUGGCGAACGGGUGAGUAAUGCAUCGGAACAUUUCCUGUAGCGGGGGACAACCUCGAGAAAUCGAGGCUAAUACCGCAUACGAUCUUCGGAUGAAAGUGGGGGACCGCAAGGCCUCACACUAUAGGAGUGGCCGAUGCCGGAUUAGCUAGUUGGCGGGGUAAAAGCCCACCAAGGCGACGAUCCGUAGCUGGUCUGAGAGGACGACCAGCCACACUGGGACUGAGACACGGCCCAGACUCCUACGGGAGGCAGCAGUGGGGAAUUUUGGACAAUGGGCGAAAGCCUGAUCCAGCCAUGCCGCGUGAGUGAAGAAGGCCUUCGGGUUGUAAAGCUCUUUCGGCCGGGACGAAAUCGCGUCGUAUAACACACGGCGUGGAUGACGGUACCGGAAGAAGAAGGACCGGCUAACUACGUGCCAGCCGCCGCAGUAAUAC
rnacentral:rRNA from 1 species